rnacentral:rRNA from 1 species
AGGGAAUCUUCCACAAUGGACGAAAGUCUGAUGGAGCAACGCCGCGUGAGUGAUGAAGGUUUUCGGAUCGUAAAACUCUGUUGUAAGGGAAGAACCAGUACGUCAGGCAAUGGACGUACCUUGACGGUACCUUAUUAGAAAGCCACGGCUAACUACGUGCCAGCAGCCGCGGUAAUACGUAGGUGGCAAGCGUUGUCCGGAAUUAUUGGGCGUAAAGCGCGCGCAGGUGGUUUCUUAAGUCUGAUGUGAAAGCCCACGGCUUAACCGUGGAGGGUCAUUGGAAACUGGGAGACUUGAGUGCAGAAGAGGAAAGUGGAAUUCCAAGUGUAGCGGUGAAAUGCGUAGAGAUUUGGAGGAACACCAGUGGCGAAGGCGACUGCCUGGGCCAACACUGACACUGAGGCACGAAAGCGUGGGGAGCAAACA